rnacentral:rRNA from 1 species
CAAUAGCGUAUAUUAAAGUUGUUGCAGUUAAAAAGCUCGUAGUCGGAUUUUGGCAUCACGCCGAACUGUCUGCCGAUUGGUAAGUACGGUUUGGCGGGUGCUUCCUUCCGGAGGCUCGUUCCCUUCUUAAUUGAAGGGUUCGUUGGUUCCGGGUCUUUUACUUUGAGAAAAUUAGAGUGUUCAAAGCAGGCCUAUGCUCUGAAUAGGUUAGCAUGGAAUAAUAAGAUAGGACUGUAGUGCUAUUUUGUUGGUUUGCGUACUAUGGUAAUGAUUAAUAGGGAUAGUUGGGGGUAGUUCAUAUUCAAUUGUCAGAGGUGAAAUUCUUGGAUUUAUGGAAGAUGAACUACUGCGAAAGCAUUUACCAAGGAUGUUUUCAUUAAUCAAGAACGAAAGUUAGGGGAUCGAAGACGAUUAGAUACCAU